rnacentral:sRNA from 1 species
AGUAGAUAGGGUGGCUGAAGGGGAUACCCACCGGCUGAAGGCCGACUGUGAUUCCCCCUACCCCCACAAGGCGAUUUUGACCCCCUGAGGGCUGCUCUGGAGGACUCAGGCCCCGAAGCUGUCCCAGGGAGGUCCCCGCUGCAUCCCACCACCCAAGCUGUGCCUCAUGGAGUCGAUGUUUAGCAGCCCUGCCGAGGCGGCGCUGCAGCGAGAGGCCGGGGUGCCAGGACUGCUCACUCCUCUUCCGGACCUGGACGGAGUGUUGCCUUGCAGUUCCCUGACCAGCUAUUGGGAGAUGCUGUGGCUGUGGCUGCACGACUGGAGGAGACGACAGGGUCAAAGAUGUUCAUUCUAGGUGACACAGCCUACGGCAGGUGUGAACUUGGCCUUAGGUGGGCCAGGCCUGGGGAUCCGGGACUCAUGGGGUUUUACGUCUAUGACAGUGAUUGCCUUCAAUGGUGGUGUUUCUCCUUGAUGAUAAUGGUAAUGACUCCCCUCCUGAUGCUAGCUCCUUUCAUUGACACUGUCUUCCUUUAAUGAAACCAUUUUAUUCACUGACCACAUUUCCCAGUGAUGACAGCAACUCGCCU